GUCUGUGAUGUUGUUGAUGUUGAAGUUGAACUUGUUGAUGUUUUCAAUUUUCAUAUUAUUUUCUGAUUUGAUACUUCAUUCAAUAAUUGACUAACGCAUUAAAAUAUUUUUAGACCUAAAAUAAAAUACAUGCCACUGAUAACUGCAAUGAUAUAUUUACUGUGAUGGAGACUCAUCCAUUGAACUUAGCUCACCAACAGCAUAGACGAGCUGAUGCUUAUCUCAAAAGCCAUAGAUUUGACGAAGCCAUCCAGUGUCAUCACAACGCAUCUGAACUACUACUUGACGCCAUGAAAGCCACAACUUCCUCGGUAGCCAUAGAAUCAAUAACUCUACAACACGGCUAUCAUCUCAAACAAAAGGAAUUUAUAAGAAAUAAAAAGGAACACUAUGUUAAAGUGAAGAGGGCAUUAGAUAACAUGAAAUGUUUACAAUUUGAGCAAGGCACAUCAGUUUAAUUCAUAUAGGCUAAUUUAUGGCACAUUUAGACCCAUGUUGGGUCAUCAACAUCAUUGUCAUUAAUUAUUACCAGUCUAUUAUAAUGCCCACAUAACAUGCUCUUCGCACAGGGGUUGUAAAACCACCAACUUCCAAAGUUCUGGUCGAGAAUUUCUUAGAAAUACUGAAAGUUUCUUAGAAGAAAGAAAACCUAUGUAUUUUAGCCUGAAUUAAGAUCUGAUCUAAAUCUGCAUAUGCUAUAUAUAUCACAGGGCAUUUACCCUUCCGACAGCCCUGUAUAUAAUAUGACUCAUCUUUUCCUAUAAUAUGAUUUAAUUGGCAGAUUUUGGUUUAGAAAGUAUAAAAUUAAAUAUUGCAUAUAAGAAUUGGUGACAAAAAUAUGAGUUUAAGUUAACACACUCAGAUGCUUUAAAAUUUUUACUCAAGAAGUCUCAAUUUUGUAAGCACAUAAAGGCAUCUGAGUGUGUUAAACUGCGACGUCACUGUACUCAAGAUAACACUCUGUGUAAUUUCUUAAAACACACAUAACUGAAUAGUUGGAAGUGCAUGCCCUGACCUGAUUCAAACCCACUGCCUCUGAAUAGAAGGUAGAGGUCCACUAGGCUACCACAGCUCAUAUUUCUAUUUAUUUUAUUAAUCUGCAAUCCUUUUCAUUCCAUUUUUCCAAAGAAGUCAUUACCAGGUUUUGUUCAAAAUUAUUCAAUAUUUAAUUUAGGUUUUAUAAGUGUGAAUGCAGGUGUAAAUAAAUAGGCCAACAUAUUUUUAAUAGAUAUGUAUUGCAUAUUAGUCUUACACAAAAAUAAAAUGUUACUCUUGUUUUUAUUUAAAUGUAAAAAUAAAGUUCCCAGUAGAUAAUACUGGGAAUAACUAUCCUUAUGUCUAAGAGUUUAUACUUUAACAAAUAAUACCACUAUUAACAUUUAUAGUUUUUGGUAACAUGAAAUAUACACCAGUUACUCAGAAGUUUGUAUAUAUUAUAACAAUAUCCAAAGCAACCGAAACAUGAUUGAAAAAGAGCUAUCUUUGUUAAAAAAAAAAUAAACCAAGCCUUUCUGACAA